rnacentral:tRNA from 1 species
GGGGUUGUGGCUCAGUGUGAGAGCACUCACCUAGCAUGUGUGAGGUACUGGGUUCGAUCCUCUGCACCACA